rnacentral:tRNA from 1 species
UGCCCGCGGCGAGGUUCGGCGCGAUCGACUCGGAGUAGAUCGUGCGCUGGUGCUGGUCCGGCGCGAGGAUC